ACGCGAAGAACCUUACCCAGACUUGACAUACAUGUGACAGUUCUAGAAAUAGAAUCUUCCUUCGGGACACAUGAACAGGUGCUGCAUGGCUGUCGUCAGCUCGUGCCGUGAGGUGUUGGGUUAAGUCCCGCAACGAGCGCAACCCUUAUCAUUAGUUGCCAACAUUUAAGGUGGGAACUCUAAUGAGACUGCCUGGGUUAACCAGGAGGAAGGUGAGGAUGACGUCAAGUCCGCAUGGCCCUUAUGUCUGGGGCUACACACGUGCUACAAUGGUCGGUACAAAAGGAAGCUAAGCCGCGAGGUGGAGCAAAUCCAUAAAAGCCGGCCUCAGUUCAGAUUGUAGUCUGCAACUCGACUACAUGAAGAUGGAAUUGCUAGUAAUGGCAGGUCAGCAACACUGCCGUGAAUACGUUCUCGGGUCUUGUACACACCG
rnacentral:rRNA from 1 species